UACGUAGGGAGCAAGCGUUGUCCGGAAUCAUUGGGCGUAAAGCGCGCGUAGGCGGCCCGAUAAGUCCGCUGUAAAAGUCAACGGCUCAACUGUUGAAAGCCGGUGGAUACUGGAAGGCUUGAAUCCGGGAGAGGGAUGCGGAAUUCCAGGUGUAGCGGUGAAAUGCGUAGAUAUCUGGAGGAACACCGGUGGCGAAGGCGGCAUCCUGGACCGGCAUUGACGCUGAGGCGCGAAAGCCAGGGGAGCAAACGGG
rnacentral:rRNA from 1 species